UCCCUGGUGGCUCAGAGGUUAAAGCAUCUGCCUGCAAUGUGGGAGACCUGGGUUCGAUCCCUGGGUUGGGAG
rnacentral:tRNA from 1 species